rnacentral:rRNA from 1 species
GACGAACGCUGGCGGCGUGCUUAACACAUGCAAGUCGAACGGAAAGGCCCUGCUUUUGUGGGGUGCUCGAGUGGCGAACGGGUGAGUAACACGUGAGUAACCUGCCCUUGACUUUGGGAUAACUUCAGGAAACUGGGGCUAAUACCGGAUAGGAGCUCCUGCUGCAUGGUGGGGGUUGGAAAGUUUCGGCGGUUGGGGAUGGACUCGCGGCUUAUCAGCUUGAUGGUGGGGUAGUGGCUUACCAAGGCUUUGACGGGUAGCCGGCCUGAGAGGGUGACCGGCCACAUUGGGACUGAGAUACGGCCCAGACGCCUACGGGAGGCAGCAGUGGGGAAUAUUGCACAAUGGGCGGAAGCCUGAUGCAGCAACGCCGCGUGCGGGAUGACGGCCUUCGGGUUGUAAACCGCUUUCGCCUGUGACGAAGCGUGAGUGACGGUAAUGGGUAAAGAAGCACCGGCUAACUACGUG